GAGGAGACUCAGUAGAGGAAAAAGGAGUUAAAAGUGCAAUAGUCUACUUAGUCAUUUGACUUCCCAGCUGCAGUACUAAAAAUAAAUGGAUGAAAAAGAAAACUGCUCUUGGCAGGAUAUUUGAUGUGUUGUCUUCUUGAAGUCCUUCCUGAUGUACUUACUGAGAAAUGGCUUCAGCAGAGCCAGCCUCAAGAUGGGCCUUUCUCUUCACUAGCAUCCCACUCCAAGCAUACAAAGUUAAUUUUCCCAGUACGAAUGCACUGUGUAUGAGGCUGGUCAGAGAUAUCGCUGUACACAUUCUCAUCAAAUGAAGUUUCAUUUAAUGGACGUACAACCAUAGAAACCACAACAGAUGUCUCUCUGAGUUGCUUAAAGAGCUGCAGAAGUAAACAGAAAGGAAUCGGUACCUGGGAUCGCUAAUUUCUCUGGAUAAGGUAUUGUACUUGGUCAGCUGUGAUAUAAUAAAGGAUGUGGCUAUUCGUGGAUAAAGCAAAAGAGAGGACUAACUGACUGGAGGAGAAGAGGCUGAAGAAAUGAGAGCAGAAAGGUCAUCCUGGUAGAUAUUGAAUUCACCAAGAAUUAGAAUAGAAGUUUGCUGAAGACUGGCACUCAACCAAAAGAGCUGAAGUUAUCUGACCUGAAAGAAUGAAGACAGGA